rnacentral:rRNA from 1 species
AGACGUCUACAUUAGAUACCCGCGUAGUCCCAGCCGUAAACUAUGCGCGUUAGGUGUAUCGGUGACCACGAGUUACCGAGGUGCCGAAGGGAAACCGCGAAACGUGCCGCCUGGGAAGUACGGUCGCAAGGCUGAAACUUAAAGGAAUUGGCGGGGAGCACCACAACGGGUGGAGCCUGCGGUUUAAUUGGACUCAACGCCGGGAAGCUCACCGGAUAAGACAGCGGAAUGAUUGCCGGGCUGAAGACUCUGCAUGACUAGCUG